UACGGAGGAUGCGAGCGUUAUCCGGAUUUAUUGGGUUUAAAGGGUGCGUAGGCGGGCUUUUAAGUCAGCGGUAAAAAUUCGGGGCUCAACCCCGUCCGGCCGUUGAAACUGGGGGUCUUGAGUGGGUGAGAAGAAGGCGGAAUGCGUGGUGUAGCGGUGAAAUGCAUAGAUAUCACGCAGAACCCCGAUUGCGAAGGCAGCCUUCCGGCGCCCUACUGACGCUGAGGCACGAAAGUGCGGGGAUCGAACAGG
rnacentral:rRNA from 1 species